UACGGAGGGUGCAGGCGUUGUCCGGAUUUAUUGGGUUUAAAGGGUGCGUAGGCGGCUUCAUAAGUCCGUGGUGAAAGCCAACAGCUCAACUGUUGAACUGCCAUGGAUACUGUGAGGCUUGAGUACAGACGAGGUAGGCGGAAUGGAUCGUGUAGCGGUGAAAUGCAUAGAUACGAUCCAGAACACCGAUUGCGUAGGCAGCUUACUAGGCUGUAACUGACGCUGAGGCACGAAAGCGUGGGGAGCGAACAGG
rnacentral:rRNA from 1 species